CAGCCAGACUCCUACGGGAGGCAGCAGUGGGGAAUAUUGCACAAUGGGGGAAACCCUGAUGCAGCGACGCCGCGUGAGUGAAGAAGUCUUUCGGUAUGUAAAGCUCUAUCAGCAGGAACGAGACAAGACGGUACCUGACUAAGAAGCCCCGGCUAACUACGUGCCAGCAGCCGCGGUAAUACGUAGGGGGCAAGCGUUAUCCGGAAUCACUGGGUGUAAAGGGAGCGUAGACGGCAGUGCAAGUCUGGAGUGAAAGCCCGGGGCCCAACCCCGGGACUGCUUUGGAAACUGUGUAACUAGAGUACAGGAGGGGCAGGCGGAAUUCCUGGUGUAGCGGUGAAAUGCGUAGAUAUCAGGAGGAACACCGGCGGCGAAGGCGGCCUGCUGGACUGAAACUGACGUUGAGGCUCGAAAGCGUGGGGAGCAAACAGGAUUAGAUACCCGAGUACA
rnacentral:rRNA from 1 species